rnacentral:rRNA from 1 species
GAUGAACGCUAGCUACAGGCUUAACACAUGCAAGUCGAGGGGUAACGAGAGGAAAGCUUGCUUUCCUUGUCGACGACCGGCGCACGGGUGAGUAACGCGUAUCCAACCUGCCCCCAACUAGGGAAUAACCUUGCGAAAGUAAGACUAAUACCCUAUAAUUUCCUCAGAUGUCAUCUGACGAGGAAUAAAGAUUUAUCGGUUGUGGAUGGGGAUGCGUCUGAUUGGCUUGUUGGCGGGGUAACGGCCCACCAAGGCAACGAUCAGUAGGGGUUCUGAGAGGAAAGUCCCCCACAUUGGAACUGAGACACGGUCCAAACUCCUACGGGAGGCAGCAGUGAGGAACAUUGGUCAAUGGGCGGAAGCCUGAACCAGCCAAGUAGCGUGCAGGAUGACGGCCCUAUGGGUUGUAAACUGCUUUUAUACAGGAAUAAAGUUAGCCACGUGUGGUUAUUUGUAGGUACUGUAUGAAUAAGGACCGGCUAAUUCCGUGCCAGCCGCCGCAGUAA